GUAGGGAAUCUUGCGCAAUGGGCGAAAGCCUGACGCAGCCAUGCCGCGUGAAUGAUGAAGGUCUUAGGAUUGUAAAAUUCUUUCACCGGGGACGAUAAUGACGGUACCCGGAGAAGAAGCCCCGGCUAACUUCGUGCCAGCAGCCGCGGUAAUACGAAGGGGGCUAGCGUUGCUCGGAAUUACUGGGCGUAAAGGGAGCGUAGGCGGAUAGUUUAGUCAGAGGUGAAAGCCCAGGGCUCAACCUUGGAAUUGCCUUUGAUACUGGCUGUCUUGAGUACGGGAGAGGUGAGUGGAACUCCGAGUGUAGAGGUGAAAUUCGUAGAUAUUCGGAAGAACACCAGUGGCGAAGGCGACUCACUGGCCCGUUACUGACGCUGAGGCGCGAAAGCGUGGGGAGCAAACAGGAUUAGAUACCCGUGUAGUCC
rnacentral:rRNA from 1 species